UCUUGCCUGGUCGCAUUUCCCUGGAGUUGGGCGGGGGGGGGCAGAUUGGGGGAUGUAGAGUUGGAAUGGUCAGAGUGGUGUAGUUGUGCUCUGUGGGAGUGGGAAGUUACGGCACUGGCCGCGCUCUGGCAUGCGUGGCAAAGCUAGGCAUGGACACGCAGCACACCUGAGUAGAUGUGUUUGUGCAGGGGAUGCCAGCCGUACUUAGUCAUCUCAUUUCACAGAUGAAAGUGCCCUAGGAAAUGUGGUGUUUGGCUUUUGGGCUCGGCCUGCGUUUUGGACAGUGAAGGAAAUUUUGGGCUGUGUGCUCUGAGAACAUGGCUGGGUGCCACUACCUCCUGGGUCUGAUCCUUGCUCUGCCACAGACUCACUGGGUGACCUUGGACAAGUCACCCGGGCCAGGUCUGCCCUACUGACCUAUAUCGGUAUAACUAUGUCGCUCAGAGGUGUGAAAAAUCCACACCCCCCCGGGCGAUGUAGUUCUACUGACCUAACCUCCUGUGUAACACUAGGUUGUGGGAGAGCUUCUCCCGUCGACAUAGCUACCAUCUCUCGGGGAGGCGGAUUAAUGACACCAAGGGGAGGAGCUCUCCUGUAAGCAUAGGAGAAUCUUCACUAAGGCGCUACAAUGGCACCACUCCAGUAUGUGAAGGCAAGGCUUUAGUCACUCUGUGCCUCAGUUUCCCUCCCUGCAGUGAUGAUGAUGAGAUGGGUAGUUUAACUGGCUCAUGGCCAGAUAGAUGCUGCCUAGAUUACACUCCCUGUUAGCUGAGAGGUGACCCUGUGUUUCUCGAGCAAUGUCAAGCACCCAGCAUUUGGUUACUGUUGCAGGAGUUGCAGUCACUGUGUGCGUCAGCACUGACUGUAGACACGUAGUGAGCCGUCACGGGAGCUAGGAGACAGGCACACAAACUUUCAGUGACAAAGGGGGCACUGCACAGCUCCAGCUUGUUUCUGCAUGACUGCAUCAGAGUGCGGGGAGUGGAGUGCGCUGUCACCCACCCAGAAGGAUAGUUGGGGUUGCACGCACCCCUGGGGCCUCGACUGAGCUCAUAGACUCGUGUAUCUCCUAUGAGAACUGUGAAGCGGGGGAUGAGAGGCUGGAGUCCUUGCUACGAAUGGAGUGACUGGUAGGAGUGCAAGACUGAGAGCAGAAUGCUGCAGCUAGAACAGUCCUACCAAACGCCGCUCUUGGCUGAUGCUACCACCUUGCGUGCAUUUGUGUGUUUCUCUCUGCUGUCCUUCUGUAUGAAUGAGGCAAUAGAAGUCUACACAUGCUGCACUCUGCACAGCCAGUGGGUGUUUGGGGAGAUUGUCACAGGGAUUUGGAAAACCCCAAGAGCCCAAGAGAGGCAUGGGAGCAGGAGAAGGCCUCCAUGGUGGCAUUGCCAGAGGUGCCAGCGGUGGCUUUUGGCAGCUGCCCGGCAAUUUGUACUCUCCGAUUCCUAUUCCUCUGUGUUUGGUUUGAGACUGGGCACAGGGUAGCUGUGACUUGCUGCCUGGUGCAUUAACUCUUGGGCCUUGUUUUCACAAGAGACAUUUGGGGCACUAACCACGGUGUGGUCUCUCCUAGCAUGCCUGUAACACACCUCGCGUCCACACACACAGUGCACAGGCAUUACAGCUAUCAUUUGGGUUAGAUUUGCUUUGAGCACAUGUUAAGGGAGAUCAGUGGAUGAGAUGAGUGACAUAACAGCUCUCACAGUACAAAUAGCCUUCCCCCUCCUGUCCCACAGUGCCUAGCUGGCCUGUCUGGUCUGUUUGCUGCACUCCACUGCACAGGGGUGAAGUUAUUCAGAAGCUAGUAAUUUGUACGUAUAGCACCGCACACACUGGAGUUCAGUUGUGCACUAUUUUCACAGUGAACAAGAUCUUCUAUUUCUGCAAUAUUUGAUUCUAUCACCAUGUCUCAGAGGAGACCAUCAUAUGAACAUGGUGCCAGCUGGUGUGAAGCUCACAUACAGGCUCCGGUAUCCAUCUAGGGAGAGGUGCUUUGAUACCAACUGAACUUCUUCACACACCACACGUUAAUGUAUGACCAGGUAUCUGAGCAGCUGUUUGACGUAGGCAUCACCAGGAGAAGCAAGUGGUGCCACAAGAAGAAAAAGGGACUGAAAGGCCUAUGCAACAUGACCCAGGACAAUAACAGUCUCUCCAGCUCAGGAUGGAAAACUGACCCCUUUUAUAAUGAGCGGCACGGAACUGUUGGGACUCACCCAUCCACCCAGCCUGCAGAGAGCCCAGGAGUGCCAUGCAGAGCACUUGUGACGGACAAGGAGCAUCAGCUCCAAGAACUGGGUGAACUGUCAGUAUGAGGAGUCAGAAUGGGAGACGACAGGCGUAUUACAGGGAUCUCUUCCUGGGGACGGAGAUAGUUUGGGAGGAGGAGGAAUUGGGCCACAGUGCCUUUACAGCCAUAUGGACAUGCCCGAACAGGGAUGGGCAGGUGCAUUAGCUCCCCGGUGAGAAAGUUUCAGGUCCUGGAAAAGGAAGUGCGGAGAAGACCUGUGUGAACAGGGACUCUGGCCCCUCCUUGAACUUGUACAAGUAUUUAAAGAGGCUCCUCUCAGAACGCGUGUAGGCUGAGCAGGACAGGGGACUUAUGUAAGGCUUUUGCUGGAGCGCGAGAGAUGUGAAUGGAGGAGGCAGGGCCCAGACGUGCAGGGCUCAGGAAAAACUGCCUGCCAAGUUGACACCAUCUGGUCUUGGCAGCCAUGCCUUCCCCUCCUGCCCAACACCACUGGGGCCCUGUACCACCACAGCCAUUCUCAGGCACCCCACUCUUUUACAAGACUGUGGAAAGGAGAACUGGAGCCCAAAAGCAAGGCACUAUCAGGAACCUCAGCAUGCUUGCUCUAGCCGGUUGUGGUGUAACUCUGGUGACUUGUUUUAGUAUUGCAGCAGACCUGCAGCCUUGUUUGUAUUUAAUAAAGUUGUGGAAAAGCAUCUGUGAUUUCAAUA